rfam:Thermosulfurimonas dismutans strain S95 contig00001, whole genome shotgun sequence.
GAAUGCCUGGGGUGUGCGUGAUUGGCCUUGAAGCCCGCCGAGGCAACAUUAAUCAAAGAGGGGGAUUCCUCUCCAUCCUGGUGCAAGCUCCGGUGAAUCUCACCGGAGAAGCCGAAGGGAUGGACGAAUCCCCCACCUUAGGCCAACGGUCCUCGAAGCGGGCCGGCUAACACGGCACCCCGGGUUCCUU